UACGGAGGUGGCAAGCGUUGUUCGGAUUCAUUGGGUGUAAAGGGCAUGUAGGCGGCUUCUUAAGUCGAUUGUGAAAUCCCUCGGCUUAACUGAGGAACUGCAAUCGAAACUGUGAAGCUUGAGUGCAGAAGAGGAAAGCGGAAUUCCCGGUGUAAGAGUGAAAUCUGUAGAUAUCGGGAGGAACACCAGUGGCGAAGGCGGCUUUCUGGUCUGCAACUGACGCUGAAAUGCGAAAGCUAGGGGAGCAAACAGGAUUAGAUACCCCGGUA
rnacentral:rRNA from 1 species